AGGAACAGGCACACCAAUAGUUUGCCUUCUCAGGAUGCCCUGCCACAUCUCUGGUGCCAAACACAAUCCACAGCUCUUUUUCAUGAUCAAAGGGUAGCUUGUGUGGUGCUCGCAGCCUGCAGGAGCUCCAUCCAAUCCUUCUCUUAGAUGGAGUCAGAGAGCUCCAGUAGUGGAAAAUUGAAGGGAUUGCCUUUAGCUUGGGCUUGAAGGCAGGUCUCCUUCCUGCAGCAAAUGGCACAAUGGCAGUUUGCCCACAACACACCCCAUGCCCAUGCAACGAGCACCAUGCUUCCCAUCUGCCUCAGCAGCCUGGUCAUCAGCUGUUGCUGCAGCACAGAGAAUGGCAGAGCCUGCAGAAACCAGCACACACCUUGUGGUCCCACCUGGCUGCUGCUUUGUUCUGCAGUUGUUCUCUCAUCUGGUUUUUGUGUCAGAGAAAACUCAUGCUGCAGCAAGUUCCAUGGGAGCAGCGGAGCCUCAAUUUCCUCAGUUCUACCAGAAAGGACCACCAAAGGAAGAUGGCAACACAGAAGGUUCAACAGCUGUAGUCCCUUCAUCACUUGA
rnacentral:lncRNA from 1 species